UGCAAGUCGAACGGUGAAAGAGAGCUUGCUCUCUGGAUCAGUGGCGAACGGGUGAGUAACACGUGAGCAAUCUGCCCCUGACUCUGGGAUAACAGUUGGAAACAGCUGCUAAUACCGGAUACGAGCUUCGAAGGCAUCUUCAGAAGCUGGAAAGAACUUCGGUCAGGGAUGAGCUCGCGGCCUAUCAGCUAGUUGGUGAGGUAAUGGCUCACCAAGGCGUCGACGGGUAGCCGGCCUGAGAGGGUGACCGGCCACACUGGGACUGAGACACGGCCCAGACUCCUACGGGAGGCAGCAGUGGGGAAUAUUGCACAAUGGGCGCAAGCCUGAUGCAGCAACGCCGCGUGAGGGACGACGGCCUUCGGGUUGUAAACCUCUUUUAGCAGGGAAGAAGCGAAAGUGACGGUACCUGCAGAAAAAGCGCCGGCUAACUACGUGCCAGCAGCCGCGGUAAUACGUAGGGCGCAAGCGUUAUCCGGAAUUAUUGGGCGUAAAGAGCUCGUAGGCGGUUUGUCGCGUCUGCUGUGAAAACUGGAGGCUCAACCUCCAGCCUGCAGUGGGUACGGGCAGACUAGAGUGCGGUAGGGGAGAUUGGAAUUCCUGGUGUAGCGGUGGAAUGCGCAGAUAUCAGGAGGAACACCGAUGGCGAAGGCAGAUCUCUGGGCCGUAACUGACGCUGAGGAGCGAAAGGGUGGGGAGCAAACAGGCUUAGAUACCCUGGUAGUCCACCCCGUAAACGUUGGGAACUAGUUGUGGGGUCCAUUCCACGGAUUCCGUGACGCAGCUAACGCAUUAAGUUCCCCGCCUGGGGAGUACGGCCGCAAGGCUAAAACUCAAAGGAAUUGACGGGGACCCGCACAAGCGGCGGAGCAUGCGGAUUAAUUCGAUGCAACGCGAAGAACCUUACCAAG
rnacentral:rRNA from 1 species